UCCGGUUUGUCACCGGCAGUCUCCUGCGAGUCCCCGCCAUUACGCGCUGGCAACACAGGACAAGGGUUGCGCUCGUUGCGGGACUUAAGCCAACACCUCACGGCACGAGCUGACGACAGCCAUGCAGCACCUGUGCUAGCCCCUUACGGACACGGGCUUUCACCCGCUUUAACUAGCAUGUCAAGCCUAGGUAAGGUUCUUCGCGUUGCAUCGAAUUAAGCCACAUGCUCCGCCGCUUGUGCGGGCCCCCGUCAAUUCUUUUGAGUUUUAGCCUUGCGGCCGUACUCCCCAGGCGGAACACUUAACGCGUUAGCUACGGCACGGAGGGAGUGGAUAACCCCCCACACCUAGCACCCAUCGUUUACGGCGUGGACUAC
rnacentral:misc_RNA from 1 species